CCUACGGGGGGCAGCAGUGGGGAAUAUUGCACAAUGGGGGAAACCCUGAUGCAGCGACGCCGCGUGCGCGAUGACGUAUUUCGGUAUUGAAAGCUCUAUCUGCACGAAAGAAAAUGACGGUACCUGAAUAUGACUCACCGUCUAACUACGUUCCAGCAGACGCGGUAAUACGUAGGGGGCAAGCGUUAUCCGGAUUUACUGGGGGUACAGGGAGCGUAUACGGUUCUGCAAGGUAGAUGUGAAAGCCCGAGGCUCAACCCCGGUACUGCCGUUGGAACUGUAAGGCUAGAGUGUAGGAGAGGCAGGCGGAAUUUAUGGUGUAGCGGUGAAAUGCGUAGAGAUUAUGAGGAACACCAGUUGCGAAGGCGGCCUACUGGGCGAUGACUGACGUUGAGGCUCGAAAGCGUGGGGAGCAAACAGGAUUAGAUACCCCUGUAGUC
rnacentral:rRNA from 1 species